GACGAACGCUGGCGGCGUGCUUAACACAUGCAAGUCGAACGGAAAGUCCCUGCUUUUUUGGGGUGCUCGAGUGGCGAACGGGUGAUUAACACGUUAGUAACCUGCCCUUGACUUUGGGAUAUCUUCAUGAAACUGGGUCUAAUACCUGAUAGGAGCUCCUGCUGCAUGGUGGGGGUUGGAUAGUUUCGGCGGUUGGGGAUGGACUCGCGGCUUAUCAGCUUGUUGGUGGGGUAGUGGCUUACCAAGGCUUUGACGGGUAGCCGGCCUGAGAGGGUCACCGGCCACAUUGGGACUGAGAUACGGCCCAGACUACUACGGGAGGCAGCAGUGGGGAAUAGUACACAAUGGGCGGAAGCCUGAUGCAGCAACGCAGCGUGCGGGAUGACGGCAUUCGGGUUGUGAAGCGCAUUCGCCUGUGACGAAGAGAGAGUGACGGUAAUGGGUAAAGAAGCACCGGCUAACUACGUG
rnacentral:rRNA from 1 species